rnacentral:sRNA from 1 species
GCUGGGCAUGGUGGCACGUGCCUGUAAUCCCAGUGGCUUGGGAGGCUGAGGCAGGAGGAUCGCCAGUUCAAAGCCAGCCUCGGCAAAAGUGAGAUGCUAAGCAACUCAGUGAGAUCCUGUCUCUA